UCUCCGUUGGUGAACCAGCGGAGGGAUCAUUAAAGAGUUGCAAAACUCCCACAAACCAUCGCGAACGUUACCCAGACGUCGUUGCUUCGGCGGGCUCGCCCGCCGGGGGGACGCCACCAGACUCUUGCAGUUACACGGCCUCUCUGAGUACGAUUUUUAAAUAAGUCAAAACUUUCAACAACGGAUCUCUUGGUUCUG
rnacentral:misc_RNA from 1 species